AGGGUUUGAUUAUGGCUCAGAACGUACGCUGGCGGCACGCCUUAUACAUGCAAGUCGAACGAAGUAGCAAUACUUAGUGGCAGACGGGUGAGUAACAUGUAGGUAUCUGCCCUUUGGCCUGGAAUAACACGAGGAAACUUGUGCUAAUACCGGAUAAGUCUUUACAGAGAAAGCUUUAUGCACCAUUGGAUGAGCCUGCACUUGAUUAGUUUGUUGGUGGGGUAAUGGCCUACCAAGACUGUGAUCAAUAGCUGAUUUGAGAGGAUGAUCAGCCACAUUGGGACUGAGACACGGCCCAAACUCCUACGGGAGGCAGCAGUGGGGAAUCUUGCACGAUGGAGGAAACUCUGAUGCAGCGAUGCCGCGUGAGUGAAGAAGGCCCUUGGGUUGUAAAGCUCUUUCGUCGGGGAAGAAAAUGACUGUACCCGAAUAAGAAGGUCCGGCUAACUUCGUGCCAGCCGCCGCGGUAAUAC
rnacentral:rRNA from 1 species